GACUCUGAGCGGUGGAUCACUCGGCUUGUGCAUCGCUGAAGAAUGCAGCUAGCUUUGAGAACUAAUGUGAAUUGCAGGACACAUUGAUCAUUGAUACUUUGACUGCACUUUGCGGCCUCCUGGUUACUCCUGGGGCUAUGCCUGUCUGAGGGUCG